CAUUUAAAAAGAAGUUGACCGGUGACAGAAAUUAUAUACGUCAGAAUGUAUAGUUUCACGUUUUCUAACGUUCGUUGUUGCAACGUAUUUUUCGAACUUCCAGGACAUACAUCAUGUUAACUUUACAUACGUGCGUACACAUAUUUGUACGUGCGCAUAAAUGUGAUUUCAUUUUGCAUAUCAGUAAAAAGGUGACACGCAGUCGUCAGGUUGACAUUCUUACAUUUGGAAGUAUGUUAUCUUUUUCAGUAUCUACUUAGUAUUAAAGUUAUGAAAAUGAAAAAGGGUCGAAAGUUAUCAUUAUGUCAACUGUAUACAGCUUAAGUUAAGGUUCAAAUGCGUUUGAACAUAAUUGCAUGUAAUUUUCAAAGAUUUGACAGACUUGUUGGCAUCUCUGGUAAAGCAAUCUGCUAGUCAGGAACGUGAAGUUUGUUUAUUUGGAAUAUUAAUCGGAUUUGUAAUACAAUAUAGAAAAAACUAUCAUGGACGGGGAAUUUUACAACUUAGUUCCAUAUAAUGUGCCAGUAUGGGCACAACAUCUACAAAACAUCCCUACAUGUUUUGUCAAACUUUCAAAUUUGAACACCCCAGUAAAAAA